GGUGGAGUCGCGGCGGGAGCCCAGGCCGCUGCGGACCACGCGAUCCCGCAGCCGGCGACUAGAGCCCACCUCUGCAGAGACAAAGGUGCUGAACCCUUUAUCCUUUGGGAUAAUCCGGUGUCUGGAGGACACCAGCUCUCUGAUCUUGAGGACAGACCUAGAAGAUACACCCCAGCUCACCAAAGACUCUCCAGCUUACACUAAAUCACACCGUGCUGACUUCCCACGGCCAAAUGCAAAUGCCUAAAAACCCAGAUGGACUCAAAGAUUCAGGAGGCCAGAAUUUUAAAGACCUUCCAUCCCUUGCGGGGGUUGUUCAGCCCAUGUGGAAAGAAUCGCGAGGUCAGUCCGAGAGGUCUGAAUCUCCUUUUUAUAAAUAAGGUCAUCAUAGAAAGGCAUUUUCGUUAGUACUGUCCGACUCGAUUAUUUCGAAAAGUAAUAGCUAAAAGUGGUGAAGGU
rnacentral:lncRNA from 1 species